rnacentral:rRNA from 1 species
AUUGAACGCUGGCGGCAGGCUUAACACAUGCAAGUCGAACGAGUGGCGGACGGGUGAGUAAUGCUUGGGAAUCUAGCUUAUGGAGGGGGAUAACUACGGGAAACUGUAGCUAAUACCGCGUACCAUAGGAUGAGCCCAAGUGGGAUUAGGUAGUUGGUGAGGUAAGGGCUCACCAAGCCGACGAUCUCUAACUGGUCUGAGAGGAUGACCAGCCACACUGUGACUGAGAAACAGCCCAGACUCCUACGGAAGGCAGCAGUGGGGAAUAUUGCGCAAUGGGGGCAACCUGACGCAGCCACGCCGCGUGAAUGAAGAAGGCCUUAGGGUUGUAAAGUACUUUAAGGAGCGAUGCGUUAACUACAGAAGAAGCAACGGCUAACGCCGUGCCAGCCGCCGCGGUAAUUC